UACGAAGGGGGCUAGCGUUGCUCGGAAUCACUGGGCGUAAAGGGCGCGUAGGCGGCGUUUUUAAGUCAGGGGUGAAAUCCUGGAGCUCAACUCCAGAACUGCCUUUGAUACUGAGGAUCUUGAGUAUGGGAGAGGUGAGUGGAACUGCGAGUGUAGAGGUGAAAUUCGUAGAUAUUCGCAAGAACACCAGUGGCGAAGGCGGCUCACUGGCCCAUUACUGACGCUGAGGCACGAAAGCGUGGGGAGCAAACAGG
rnacentral:rRNA from 1 species